UGGAACUAAUUGCAUCCACCCUGGCUUUGUCCGAGCCACUGGACAUCAGCCGGGUUUUCAGGAAACCCUUCAUGGGAGCGGGUUGUGUCCACCAGCAUCCCAGGGCCCAGAUUCCCAGAUGGUGUCCUUCCAGCUUGGGUAAUUAGAGAAAUGAAAAGGAGCAGCCUGGAUCCUUUCAAAGGCAUUUUAUUCACCUUAACUGUUUUCGUAUUGUUAACCUGCAUCAGUUGAUGUCAAUAAGAAUAUUCAAUUCUUCCGAAAGGUGACCAGAAAGAAACCAGCUAAAAAGCAGACCUGGGGAUCUCCAAUCCAUAAUCAAAUAUCUAGAUUGAUUGUGUCACUUGCACUUGUAUUCAUUUCAAUUGGAGUGGCUCACCCAAGGGAAUAAUAAAAAUGUGGAAUAAAACUGAUUUAU